UACGUAGGUGGCAAGCGUUGUCCGGAUUUACUGGGCGUAAAGAGCGCGCAGGCGGUCGUGCAAGUCGCGUGUGAAAGCCCCCGGCUCAACUGGGGAGGGUCACGCGAUACUGCUCGACUUGAAGGCAGGAGAGGGAAGUGGAAUUCCCGGUGUAGUGGUGAAAUGCGUAGAUAUCGGGGAGGAACACCAGUGGCGAAGGCGACUUCCUGGCCUGUUCUUGACGCUGAGGCGCGAAAGCUAGGGGAGCGAACAGG
rnacentral:rRNA from 1 species